ACCGUAGCGAACACUACAAUUCCCAAGAUGCUCAGUGCGGCCUCACUCUUCCGGGUCCACCUGGUCUAGACUAGCAGGGCUCUGGUGCCAGGCCAGAUCGCGGGUAGAAAGAGGUUCAAGAUUCCAGGAUGCUCCUUGGGGAACUUGAUACUCAGAGCUGCGAUCCAAUUAACACAGGCUCUCUUGGAAUUGGACAUCCUCCUGCCUCAGCCUCUUGAGUGCUGGGAUUACAAAUUCACACUACCAUUUCACUUUUGAAUAUGACCAGAUAGAAAAGGAUUUCUAGAUAUGAAAGCAAUAAACACAGAGGAAGUACAAAUCCUAGAGGUCUCAGACAACAGGGUUGAGUCCAGAAGAAUGCCCUGGAAAACCAAAUCAUGAAGAUCUGAAAAAAAUCAUCAUGGGCUGAGUGGUGGUGGUACACAGCUUUAAUCCCAGCACUUGGGAGGCAGAGGCAGGUGGAUCUCUGUGAGUUCGAGGCCAGCCUGGGCUGUACAUCAAGUUUCAAGGACAGCCAGGGCUACACAGAAAAACCCUGUCUCAAGAAGAAAAGUUCAUUGUGGGAUGAAAGAGAAACCGAAGAACUCUUCCACAGCAUAGUCUACAGCAUGAGCUUGCAGAUGACAACAUUGUGUCAUGGUGUCACAGCUGGGCAUCUGCUAGAUGAUGCUGAAAGCAAAAGUCAAGAAGGAGCAAAACGGGUAUGUUCAGAGAUGGUGGGGUGAUUGCCCUCAGAAACAUCUUAAGGAGGUGGAGAGAGUUGUUCACUCAAAGGACAAAGAAAUCGGGGGCCUACUCUUCUUGUUAAAGCUCUUAUAGCUGCUGGGGGGGGGUGGUGCGCACC